AGGAGCUUGCUUUUCUUAGCUUAGUGGCGAACGGGUGAGUAACGCGUGAGUAACCUGCCUUGUACUGGGGGACAACAGUUGGAAACGACUGCUAAUACCGCAUGACGCAUAGAGGUCGCAUGAUCUUUAUGCCAAAGAUUUAUCGCUUCAAGAUGGCCUCGCGUCUGAUUAGCUAGUUGGCGGGGUAACGGCCCACCAAGGCGACGAUCAGUAGCCGGACUGAGAGGUUGAACGGCCACAUUGGGACUGAGAUACGGCCCAGACUCC
rnacentral:rRNA from 1 species